rnacentral:rRNA from 1 species
UACGUAGGGGGCAAGCGUUGUCCGGAAUCAUUGGGCGUAAAGAGCGUGUAGGCGGCCCGAUAAGUCCGCUGUGAAAGUCCAGGGCUCAACCUUUGAAUGCCGGUGGAUACUGCAGGGCUAGAGUCCGGAAGAGGCAAGUGGAAUUCCUGGUGUAGCGGUGGAAUGCGCAGAUAUCAGGAGGAACACCAACGGCGAAGGCAGCUUGCUGGGACGGUACUGACGCUAAGGCGCGAAAGCGUGGGGAGCGAACAGG